rnacentral:rRNA from 1 species
CCUACGGGAGGCAGCAGUGGGGAAUAUUGCACAAUGGGGGAAACCCUGAUGCAGCGACGCCGCGUGAGCGAUGAAGUAUUUCGGUAUGUAAAGCUCUAUCAGCAGGGAAGAAAAUGACGGUACCUGACUAAGAAGCCCCGGCUAACUACGUGCCAGCAGCCGCGGUAAUACGUAGGGGGCAAGCGUUAUCCGGAUUUACUGGGUGGAAAGGGAGCGUAGACGGUCCUGCAAGCCAGAUGUGAAAGCCCGGGGCUCAACCCAGGGACUUCAUUUGGAACUGUAAGGCUAGAGUGUCGGAGAGGCAGGCGGAAUUCCUAGUGUAGCGGUGAAAUGCGUAGAUAGUAGGAGGAACACCAGUGGCGAAGGCGGCCUGCUGGACGAUGACUGACGUUGAGGCUCGAAAGCGUGGGGAGCAAACAGGAUUAGAUACCCCUGUAGUC